rnacentral:misc_RNA from 1 species
ACACACUCAACAACACGUCGGAACCAAAGAUGUUAGGAUUCGGUGAUUUCGACACUGAAAAUGUUGAUCCUCAAGUUAGAACUCCGAAAAAGAAGAGGAGUAAAAGAAUACCGACUAUUGUUGUUGAGGGAAACAUUGGAAGUGGAAAAUCAACGUUUUUACAGUAUUUCCAAAACUUUUCAAACGUAAUUGAGGUGAGAUAUUUGUUUUGAAUUAAUUUUUGUCAAAUUAUUAAUAUAAACAUAAUAUAUAUGUUAAUAAAGUACAAACAAAAUGUUACAUAAUAUUCAGUAAUUAUAUAAUAAUAACGUAGAUCUGCAAUAGGUUUUAAAGUUGUGAAGGGUGUAGAGAGUUGUAUACAGUGUAUAUAGUCGAAUAUUUACUAGUGGCCUGUCUUAGUACUAGUACAAUGAAUAUUUAUAAAAACCAUUUCUUUUUAUAAAUGCAUAUGUGUUGGACAUAUUGUACAGAUGGUUCCUGAACCAGUUCACAAAUGGAAAGAUGUUGAUGGAUACAAUACAUUGGAUAUGAUGUAUAAAGAUGCCUCUAGGUGGAGCCUGGCCUUCCAGUCUUAUGUACAGCUAACCAUGGCAGAGGGCCAUAAGCACAAGGCAAAAAACGCCAAACUCAAAAUGAUGGAAAGGUCAAUCUUCAGUGCAAGAAACUGUUUUGUGGAGAACCUGUACCAGAGUAAGCUGAUGCCGGAAGUAGACUAUGCAGUGUUGUCAGAGUUCUAUGAUUUCAUUUUGCAACAAGAAAACACAAAGAUUGAUAUCAUUGUGUAUUUGAGAGCUGAUCCUUUGACAUGUCAACAAAGAAUAAAGAAAAGAGAUCGUAUGGAAGAAAAAUCUGUUCCCAUUGAAUACCUGCAAUCACUUCAUGAUCUCCAUGAAAACUGGCUGACACACCAGACCAAAUUCAAAACUCCAGCUCCUGUUUAUGUGAUUGAUGCCAAUGAAGACAUUUCUAAACUCUCUGUAAAGUUUGAUGAGUUCAGGGACUUCAUUUUUUCUAAGUACUCUGUAGUGUGAUGCCAGGGUAGCCGUCCACUCUCAGGACUAUCGACUAGUUACACAUCAGUGAUCCCCAUAACCUCCACUCGCUUCUUGCAGUGUUGAUGUGAAGUCAAAAAGCAACUGAAAAUAUGAUCUAUCUAUUCCAAUGCUAUUUCUAACAGCUGAAAUAGUCUUUCAUUGUAUGUACAUGUAUUUAAUACAUGUACAUGUGUGUUCAUAAAAAAAUAUAAAAUUGAUCGUUUUACAAUUAAUGAAUAGUACCAUUACAUUUAUACAUGUAUGUUGCUGUAUAUGAUUUUAUUCAUUACACUGUGGACUUGUACCUGAUCUUUUUUUAAUCAUGUUUGUAUAUCAAUAGUUUUAUUUAUUUUAAUUCAUAAGAUUUUAUGUACACUUUUUUUGAGAUAGUGCCUAGAUAUUUAAAUCUAUGUGUGAUUUCUAUAAAUAAAAUCUGACAUAAU